rnacentral:tRNA from 1 species
GCUUUCGUGGUGUAAUGGUGAGCACAUUCGGUGCGUAUUUCAGAGGUCCGAGGUUCGAGUCCUGGUGAGGGCA